rnacentral:rRNA from 1 species
UACGUAGGGGGCUAGCGUUGUUCGGAUUCAUUGGGCGUAAAGGGUGCGUAGGCGGCGCGGUAAGUCGGGUGUGAAAUCUCGGAGCUUAACUCCGAAACUGCAUUCGAUACUGCCGUGCUUGAGGACUGGAGAGGUGAGUGGAACUCCGAGUGUAGAGGUGAAAUUCGUAGAUAUUCGGAAGAACACCAGUGGCGAAGGCGACUCACUGGCCCGAUACUGACGCUGAGGCGACGAAAGCGUGGGGAGCAAACAGG